UGAUGAAGAUAAAGCCCUCUUGCUCCUAACCUCUCUCUCACAUUCUUAUAAAAGCUUGGUAAUAGCCUUAACAGUUAGGAAGGAGACUUUGAAGGCGGAGGAAGUUGUUGUAGUUAUUUUAAAUAAUGAGAAGUUCAAGAAGACAAGUGGUAAAAAUGAUGGUGGACCUUUUAUUACUAGUUCUAGUCGUGAUAAAAGCAAUCCAGGUGGAAACCAUUUGAGAAGAAAUAGUAAAUUGAGCUCGAGACUAUGAAUAGACCUUAAAGAUAGAGAAUGCUACUAUUGUCAUUAGAAGGGCCACAUUCAAUA
rnacentral:misc_RNA from 1 species